GUGUGUUUCUCUUCCUCCUGAAAAUUGCUAUGAAGCUAGAUAACAUGCUAAUGCUGUGUUCUGAACAUAGUUUUACAAGUUUAGUCGACAUAUAAUAUGUAAUUUCGUCGUUUUGGUGCGCACCCACUUGACUUUUGGCUGCAUUUCAACCGAAAUGUGUCGUGUUUGAUCACCGAAAGACACAGACUUCCAAACUAAAGCUGUUUUUGUUCUGCCCGCCUUCACUCUGGUCCCUGUCUCCAGUCCCACGCAUCCUCAUCCUGCUACUUUGCCCUGGAUUCCCCACUCAACUGCUCCCUUGGAUUCCCCUCUGGACCUGCUUAGCCUCCGCACCUAGAUUCCUACAACCCAC
ensembl:lncRNA